GGCUGGUUGGCUUAAAUGGUCAGCGUGUGGUGCUUGUAAUGCCAAGGUUAUGGGUUCAAUCCCCAUAUUGGCCA
rnacentral:tRNA from 1 species